rnacentral:rRNA from 1 species
UACGUAGGGUGCGAGCGUUGUCCGGAAUUAUUGGGCGUAAAGGGCUCGUAGGCGGUUUGUCGCGUCGGGCGUGAAAACACCGGGCUUAACUCGGUGCUUGCUUCCGAUACGGGCAGACUAGAGGCAUGCAGGGGAGAACGGAAUUCCUGGUGUAGCGGUGAAAUGCGCAGAUAUCAGGAGGAACACCGGUGGCGAAGGCGGUUCUCUGGGCAUGUUCUGACGCUGAGGAGCGAAAGUGUGGGGAGCGAACAGG